rnacentral:lncRNA from 1 species
GCCGAGCAGUCGGGCCACCACUGCGACCGCCUCCCUCCCCCUUCCCCUUCUCCCCGCCGCGGCAGAAGAAGGAGAAGAAGAAGGUCUACGACCAUCAUCAGCCGCAGCGGAGGUAGCCGCAGCAGUCGCUGGAGCGCCACCAUCUGUCUCCAGGGCGGAGAUAGCUCGCGGUGGCAGUGGUUGUCUUGGUGCCUUGCUCCAGUACUCAUUGUACGAACGCCCCAACUCUUUCUAAUCGCCCCCUUCUCUGUCGAUUUCCGCCUGUUGUCUUCUUCUUCCUCUUCCUCGUCGUCGUCGUCGUCGUCUUCUUCUUCAUCAUCAUCAUCAUCAUCAUCUUCUUCUUCUUCUUCUUGUUUAGCCGUCAAAUUUUUGGCUGACGUGAGGAGGCUAUGAAGGGCUCUCUUAGUGCUCAUUCCUCCGCGUUAUCUCUUUACCAUUUUAAGCUCUUUUAGGGUUUUUUUCAUGCCUCGUCUUCGGAUCUUAGCACACAAAAUCUCAAGUGAGAUGUAUUGUGUUUCCGCAGAGAUCUUCGUGUCAACACUGAAAACUCUGCGGGCUUCGUUUCUGGUGCCGGC